rnacentral:rRNA from 1 species
CAAUCGAACCCGGAGAUAGCUGGUUCUCCCCGAAAUAGCUUUAGGGCUAGCGUCGGAAAGAACCUUAGUGAAGGUAGAGCACUGAAUGUGUGAUGGCCCCAUCCCGGGGUACUGAAUACAAUCAAACUGCGAAUGUCAUUAAGGAUGUCCGGCAGUCAGACUGUGAGUGAUAAGGUCCAUGGUCAAGAGGGAAACAGCCCAGACCGCCAGUUAAGGUCCCAAAAUACAGGCUAAGUGGAAAAGGAUGUGGGGAUGCCCAGACAACUAGGAGGUUGGCUCAGAAGCAGCCAUCCUUUAAAGAGUGCGUAACAGCUCACUAGUCGAGUGACCCUGCGCCGAAAAUGUACCGGGGCUAAGCCUGAUACCGAAACUGCGGAUUGUAGGAAACUAUAGUGGUAGGGGAGCGUUGUAUACGAGUAGAAGCCGUACCGUGAGGAGCGGUGGAUUGUAUAGAAGUGAGAAUGCCGGUGUGAGUAGCGAGAUGUAGGUGAGAAUCCUACACACCGAAAGCCCAAGGAUUCCAGGGGAAGGUUCGUCCGCCCUGGGUAAGUCGGGACCUAACGCGAGGCCGAAAGGCGUAGUGGAUGGAAAGCAGGCGAAAGAUUCCUGCACCCGUAUAUGGAGCGAAGGAGUGACGGAGACGGAUAGUGUGACCCUCUUAAUGGAUUGAGGGCGAAGCGAAGCGGCUGGUUACCAGGCAAAUCCGGUAACCAUAAGGCUAGAGCGUGAUAGGUAAGCGAAAUCUUAGGAAAGUAGCGAAGCACAUGAUGACGGCUUCCAGGAAAAGCUUCUGGCAAUGCAUAUGCGGCCCGUACCAAAACCGACACAGGUGGGCAGGGAGAGAAUCCCGAGGUGAGCGAGAGAACUGUUGCCAAGGAACUCGGCAAAAUGACUCCGUAAGUUAGCGAGAAGGAGUGCUUAAGCAAUUAAGCCGCAGUGAAGAGGCCCAAGCGACUGUUUAACUAAAACACAGCUCUCUGCGAAGUCGCAAGACGAAGUAUAGGGGGUGACACCUGCCCGGUGCUGGAAGGUUAAGAGGAUCUGUUAAGAGCGAUCUGAAGCAGUGAUCCGAAGCCCCAGUGAACGGCGGCCGUAACUAUAACGGUCCUAAGGUAGCGAAAUUCCUUGUCAGGUAAGUUCUGACCCGCACGAAAGGUGUAACGAUUUGGGCGCUGUCUCGGCAGCAGACUCGGUGAAAUCUUAGUACCUGUGAAAAUGCAGGUUACCCGCAACUAGACGGAAAGACCCCAUGGAGCUUUACUGCAGCCUGAUAUUGAAUUCUGGUCAUACAUGUACAGGAUAGGUGGGAGACAAAGAGACGUGCACGCCAGUGUACGAGGAGUCGACGUUGGGAUACCACUCUUGUGUGACCGGGGUUCUAACCUGGUAUCGAGAACAGGUACGGGGAGAGUGUCAGGUGGGCAGUUUGACUGGGGCGGUCGCCUCCCAAAGAGUAACGGAGGCGCCCAAAGGUACGCUCAGAUUGGAUGGAAACCAAUCGACGAGUGCAAUUGCAGAAGCGUGCUUGACUGUGAGACUUACAAGUCGAACAGGGACGAAAGUCGGGAAUAGUGAUCCGGCGGUGCCGAAUGGAAGGGCCGUCGCUCAACGGAUAAAAGCUACCCUGGGGAUAACAGGCUGAUCUCCCCCAAGAGUCCACAUCGACGGGGAGGUUUGGCACCUCGAUGUCGGCUCAUCGCAUCCUGGGGCUGAAGUAGGUCCCAAGGGUUGGGCUGUUCGCCCAUUAAAGCGGUACGCGAGCUGGGUUCAGAACGUCGUGAGACAGUUCGGUCCCUAUCUGUUGUGGGCGAAGGAGAUCUGCGGAGAGCUGUCCUCAGUACGAGAGGACCGGGAUGGACCUACCGCUGGUGCACCGGUUGUUCCGCCAGGGGCAUAGCCGGGUAGCUAAGUAGGGAAAGGAUAAGCGCUGAAAGCAUCUAAGCACGAAGCCUACUCCAAGAUGAGAUCUCCCAUUCGCAAGAAGUAAGACCCCUUAAAGACGAUAAGGUAGAUAGGCCAGAGAUGGAAGUGCAGUGAUGUACGGAGUUGACUGGUACUAAUCGGUCGAGGACUUAAUCAG